rnacentral:rRNA from 1 species
GACGAACGCUGGCGGCGUGCCUAAUACAUGCAAGUAGAACGCAGUUGCGAACGGGUGAGUAACGCGUAGUUAACUGCCUCAUCGCGGGGGAUAACUAUUGGAAACGCUAGCUAAUACCGCAUACUUUGAGAUGGACCUGCGUUGUAUUCGCUAGUUGGUGAGGUAAAGGCUCACCAAGGCGACGAUACAUAGCCGACCUGAUAGGGUGAGGGGCGACACCGGGACUGAGACGAGGCCCAGACGCCCACGGGAGGCAGCAGAAGGGGAUGUUGGGGAAUGGACGGAAGGGUGAAAGGGCAACGGCGGGGGAGUGAAGAAGGUGUUCGGAUCGUAAGGCUUGGUUGUUAGAGAAGCGGUAACUAACCAGAAAGGGACGGCUAACUACGUGCCAGCAGCCGCGGUAAUAC